GUGCAGGCUUAGUCUAAAGGUUUCUUCUUUCAAUUAUUAUAUCAUCGCUCUAUGAGUGUGAGUCCAACCCCGACCUUGGACGCAGUCCUGUACUUUU
rnacentral:vault_RNA from 1 species